rnacentral:rRNA from 1 species
AUUGAACGCUGGCGGCAGGCCUAACACAUGCAAGUCGAACGAGUGGCGGACGGGUGAGUGAUGUCUGGGCACCUGCCCAAUGGAGGGGGACGACUGCGGGAAACGGUGGCUAAUACCGCAUAAGAUCGUAUGUGCCCAGAGGGGAUGAGCUAGUGGGUGGGGUAACGGCUCACCUAGGCGACGAUCCCUAGCGGGGCUGAGAGGAUGACCAGCAACACUGGAACGGAGACACGGUCCAGACUCCGACGGGAGGCAGCAGUGGGGAAUAUUGCACAAUGGGCGCAAGUCUGAUGAAGCCAUGCCGCGUGUAUGAAGAAGGCUUUCGGGUUGUAAAGUACUGUCAGUGAGGAGGCGUUACUCGCAGAAGAAGCAACGGCUAACUCCGUGCCAGCAGCCGCGGUAAUUC